CUGUGUGCUCGGAUCACAGAUGUCUCGAUGUCGAUGGGGUGGUAGCGCAUACCUCUCAGCUCCAGCGUUUCAUCCAGAGACCCAACCACAUACAGCGCAUCGUGUGGCUCUGUGGACGGCACACGUGUGCACACUCAGGUACAUCGUGUGGCUCUGUGGACGGCACACGUGUGCACACUCAGGUGCAUCGUGUGGCUCUGUGGACGGCACACGUGUGCACACUCAGGUGCAUCGUGUGGCUCUGUGGACGGCACACGUGUGCACACUCAGGUAGCGCCCGCGUGAACACCCAGCCAUCUGCCAUGUGAGCCCCACUGGGCGCUCUCUGAUAUGGGCAGCUUGACUCAAAUACCACGUGUUACCUGUGUCCCAUGCAGACAGCUCAGCCUGUGGCAAAGUUGCGGCCACACAUGAACACA